CCUACGGGAGGCAGCAGUAGGGAAUUUUCGUCAAUGGGCGCAAGCCUGAACGAGCGAUGCCGCGUGAGUGAAGAAGGCCUUCGGGUCGUAAAGCUCUGUUGCGGGGGAAAAAAGGCAGCAUCAGGAAAUGGGUGCUGACUGAUGGUGCCCCGCCAGAAAGUCACGGCUAACUACGUGCCAGCAGCCGCGGUAAUACGUAGGUGGCGAGCGUUAUCCGGAAGGAUUGGGCGUAAAGGGUGCGCAGGCGGUCCUGCAAGUCUGGAGUGAAACGCAUGAGCUCAACUCAUGCAUGGCUUUGGAAACUGGAGGACUGGAGAGCAGGAGAGGGCGGUGGAACUCUAGGUGUAGCGGGAAAAUGCGUAGAUAGAUGGAAGAACACCAGUGGCGAAGGCGGCCGCCUGGCCUGUUGCUGACGCUGAGGCACGAAAGCGUGGGGAGCAAAUAGGAUUAGAUACCCUUGUAGUC
rnacentral:rRNA from 1 species